AGAGAGGGUGUGGAUACAGAAGACUGAUGAGAAACUGUAACUGAGUAUUGAACUCUGGGCAGUAAUGUGGUGAAUUAUAGCCCAAGCCCUUGAAUAAUGGCUGGAAGUCAUCAAGUCUCUCGAUUUUACCAAGUUGUCAUUCACAUGUUAUAUUAGCUGAAAUUAACUGCUGCAUCCCUCUCAGAAGGGGAAAUGGCUCUCCAUGCCAUGUUACUGCCUCCACGGUAUUGAUUUUGUGUGGAUGGGCAGUGAUUCAUGGGACGGCCCCUCACCUGCUUCCCCAUCAAGUUUUUUUUUCCUAGCUCCAGAUUUUCAAGAGUCUUGUAUGAAUUGCACUAGUUUAGCAACAACCCAGCGUGGAAUCUCACUGUAUUUGCAAAUGAUUGCUUUGAAUUUGAGAGAGUGAGAGAAUCACCAGAAAUAAGAUGAAAUAAAUAAGGCAAGGAGGAAGGUGACAUUUGUAAAUUAUGAGGGAUUAGAGGAGACAGUUCUGACUGGAGAUCUCACCCUUUAACUCAGUGGCACCCCUGGGGAAGAAGAGAGGGGAAGCUCAGAUUUGGGAUGCAAAGCAGUCUUCUGCUGACUACCAGUGUUCUUUCAGACAUGGCCCAGCAGCAUCCAUUCCACUCCCCACCACGCCGUGCCCUCAAACUUGGCUGCUGUCGAAGGGUGAUGUUCGUGAGCAUCUUGAAAUUUGGAAGUGUUUUUACAAGAGAGAUGCCUUGACCUUGAACUUUGACUUAGGAAUCAAUAGCCUCAUUCUUGAUGAGGAAACUGAGACAGAGUUUAAGGCACCUGACGGAGGACACACAGCAAGAUGACGACAGAACUAGGCAUUCCGCCUCCAUUGUCCUCAUUUGUCACCUGUGUAAACAGUGCCCUGUGAUUUGGUGUGGCAUGACAGAUGCCUCCAGGCCCAGGUGUCUGGCCCUCCUUCAAGCCUUCUGUUCUCAGGAUGAUGGAGAAGCCGGUUUCUGCCUCCAGGAAGAUGUCAUUUUCCAAUGAACUGAUGAUGGCCCCAAGCCCUAUUAGUUGGCUGGCGCUGUGGAUUUCAAGGUGGCUGUUUAAUGAAUUGUGGGGCCAGUUCACUGCUGGGUCACCACAUCCCCGCUGACCCCUAGCGAUACACUGAUAGACGGGUGUGGGGCUCCCUCCAGCAGCGGGUGCAUUCUGCAGG
rnacentral:lncRNA from 1 species